rnacentral:rRNA from 1 species
UACGAAGGGGGCUAGCGUUGCUCGGAAUCACUGGGCGUAAAGCGCACGUAGGCGGAUUGCUAAGUCAGGGGUGAAAGCCUGGAGCUCAACUCCAGAAUUGCCUUUAAGACUGCAUCGCUUGAAUCCAGGAGAGGUGAGUGGAAUUCCGAGUGUAGAGGUGAAAUUCGUAGAUAUUCGGAAGAACACCAGUGGCGAAGGCGGCUCACUGGACUGGUAUUGACGCUGAGGUGCGAAAGCGUGGGGAGCAAACAGG